GGAAUAUCUGAAGCCUUUUCUGCAAGUUUUUUAAAUAAGUAAGAGCAGAUGCAGAAGUUUUUAUAGCUUCACAGACAUUUCAGUCUUGCAGAGAGAAAAAUUUCUUUGCAUUUUGCUGAACUUGUCCGGGUGGCUUUAUCGAAUUUGGUCCAGGCCUCCAGAGGUGAAUACACAUCCAAACCUGAACCAUUUGAAUAUCUGCAAGAGUUUAAGAGUCUAGAAUGUCAGAUCUGGACUAUAACUCUGGUGAAUGACAUCAGUUUUGGAUGACAAGCUUGUAUUUGCAAAAGUACACAGCCUGUGGGAGGUGCUCUGUACAUACGCUGAGAUACUUCACAUAAAAUUGCCUCUGAAGCCCAAUGAUCUGAAAACACUGUCCUCAGCCUUUGAUAAUUUCAGCUGUUUUAUGAAAGUCCUCCAAGUGGAUGAAAGUAUCAUCAAGCAGG